AUAUAUAAUUAUCAUGAUAUUUAGGACAUUUAAUUAAUAAAUAGAUAUUAACAAUAUCUACUGAUAAUAUAAUCAUUACUUUUAUCUUAUGUUAAUUUAUGAUUUUAAUGACUAAUAUUAUAGCCAUUUCUUUGAUUUUUAUAGGAAAUAUUGAUGAAAUACAAAUUUUAUAUAUAAGUAUUUUAAUAUAUCUGAAUUAACAUGUUUCUUUGGUUUAUUCGGUUUGAUCGCUUAAUAUACUCAACCAUAUCCAUAUACUGCGGUUUCUUAAAAAUAGCAUCCAUUCAGUUUAUUCGGUACUACCAAAUCAAGACCGUUUUCCCUAUUUCGGUUUGGUUCAGUUUUAAAUGGUUCGGUUUUACAAGAUUGAACAUUCCUAGACUAUUGUUAUUUUAUUAAUGUUUUAUAGUUGUGAUUUUUUAUAAUCCUUUCGAGUACCACAUGAUUUUUUUUCAAUCCAAAUACUACAUGUAUUUAAUUUCAAAUACAAAUUUCCUAAUCUCUUUUUUAUUAUUUGAGGAGCAUUAAUAACUAAAUUGUCAUUUCUUAGGUGUCAACACUAGAAUCAUUCUCACACCCUUUAAUUAAAAGCCCUCUCCUCAUUAGAAUAAUUACAUAUUUUUCCAUUAUUCAUUACAAUAUAGCUUAACAUAAUCUAUACUAAUAAAAUAGAGAUAUCUGCUUUCUCAGACCACCACGUCAGCAAGUAGGUUGGGGGUUUUGCGCCACGUGGCACUAUAAAAAAUUAAGACAUCGACUGAUUUUGUAACUUAUCUGUGCUGGACCAUUGCAUCCUUUUCAUAAUCUCUCACCCAACAAACUCAACAAAGCAGCCUAACUCCAAAACCUCGACAAAGCCCAUUUGUUGAAACCCUUCUUCUUUGAUUGUCUUCGCCCGAUCACAUCCUCCUCACUCACGGCGAUAACAAAUUGGAGUUGUAACGUCUUUCGUCCUCAUUGAAUAUUUUUCAUAAAUUUUACCCACUAAGUCUUUCAUUCAAGUUCUCCCACGAAGUUGCUUUUAGUUUCCCAUGACCUCAGCCCCACCGCAAAUCCCUAAUUUCUACUACUAUAAAUAGGGAUGCAGAAUUCUCGAAAUCUCACAGCUUCACUCGAUUCAACCUUCUGCUUCUUCACACACACAAGCAGCAACUAUGAUUUCAUCCCAUAUAUUUUUCUAUAAUUUGAAGCCCAGUUGUUGUUCUCAAAUGGUGGUAGCGCAUCUUCUGUGUUUCGGGGAAGCACGCAACGUCAAGAAAGGAGGGGAUCUGAUGGGAGUUGACAUAGUGCUUCUUGAUGAGUAGUCCACACUGCUGCAAGGGUGCACCGGCUUCACACUUUCAAACACCUUCUGAAAGAGGGAGACAUUUACGAGAUCAGUGGCUUUCAUGUUGCAAGAACUAUCACCCACUUCAAGCUGUCAGAUUCAACCGUAGUCCAUUGAAACAACCAAUGGCUGGUUCUACAUUUCAUGCUCAAAAUGUUCUCGGAAGCUUCAGCGUGGCCUAUCUUGAUUCACAUGUACAUCAUGUCACACUAGCGCUGUAUCGUGUGGAAAUUUCCAUGACAGAUGCGACAGACUCGGCUGUGUUUGUGUUGUUUGACUAAGAGAUGUCUAAGUUAGUGUGCUUGCGGCAUAAGUCGUCGAGUUCAUGGUUGCAGGUGUUGGCGACCCCCUCGAGCUUCCACCUUUUACCUAAGAAAGUGUUGGGAAAACAUACAGGUUCCAGCUGAGCUACUAAAGUUCAAUUUUCCACAAAGCAUCAGACCUUCACUGUGUCACACAUCUUUGAUAUGCCAUUAUUGCAAAUCACGUAAGCCUUAUUAAACUAAUAACUUUGCACUCUUCUGCAUUAACAUGUUAUAAGGGAAAUGGACAGAAAGGGAACUAUUUUCCAGGAGAUGAAAUGCCUGGUGCUAAAUGUCUCUCUUGCAACUGCACUGAUGGUCGAAGGUCAAGUGGUAAUGUCCAGAGCAACAAAAUUGAUGGAAAACCUUCGGACCAGGCGAGCCCAUCUGGUGGAGAAGUUUCAGUUGCACAACACAAUUGGGAGGGGAGCAUUCUAGAUGCAGACCCGGUUCAAGUUGCAUGCAACAAACACCCCAAAGAAGUCAUGCACCGGAUAGUUGAUUAAUCUAUUGACCUUGAGACCUCACUCUUUCUCUUUUGGUUCAUUGCAGUGUUGUUUUACAUGUCUGGUAUUUCUCUCAAGCUCCAUUUAAAUGAUGUUUUUGUAUCUAAAAAUCUCAGUUUUAUGGUUUCCUCACCUUUGUUUUUAA